UUACUGAUUUUCUGUUCCUAGGAUGCCAAUUCCGAUGGACCUUCUGCCGAAAGAGAAAUUCAGAAAAUUGAUGCCAGUCAAGACAAGAAUGUUUCUCCAGGAUUUGUUCAUCCAACAUUCUGGCCGAAAGAAUUAAAGACAUCUUUUGGCGUUAAGCAUAUUGGUAUUCAAAACCUUGGAUUUGAAGAGGAUUCUUCUGGAUCAAUUACUUUUGGACCCCCUUCACCCGAAGACAGUCCAAGACUGACGGCAGAAGAAGUAUAUUCUAGAGUGGACACGAAGAAGAAGAACCGCAUGAGAAACGAAAGUGCAGCAGCGAUAGCCCUCAUGAAAAACAGUACCUUACCACACACUGCGCUUUACUCUAACGACACAGAUUGUCUCAUACAUAACGAAUCAGAAGUUGUAUACGAUGAACGAACAGCACUUUAGUUGUCCUCAACUACAAUUUCUAAAACUUAAUCAGAACCAAAAACAAAAAAAAAACACAAACAAUGAACAAGACAAAACACACACA
rnacentral:lncRNA from 1 species